rnacentral:rRNA from 1 species
CACCUCUAGCAUUACUAGUAUUAGAGGCAUCGCCUGCCCAGUGACUCACGUUAAACGGCCGCGGUAUUCUGACCGUGCAAAGGUAGCAUAAUCACUUGUUUCUUAAUUAGGGACUAGCAUGAAUGGCUCGACGAGGGUUUAACUGUCUCUUACAUUUGAUCUAUGAAAUUGACCUCUCCGUGAAGAGGCGGAGAUAUAAUAAUAAGACGAGAAGACCCUAUGGAGCUUCAAUUAACUAGUUUAUUUUAACAUAACAUUACCCUACCAAGGCUUAAUAAACAUAAAAUUAAACUAGUAAUUUUGGUUGGGGUGACCUCGGAGAAUAACAUAUCCUCCGAAAGAUUUUAUUUCAGACCUACAAGUCUAACAAGUAGAACAUCAUAGUCUACUAUCUUAAAUUGAUCCAGAUAAUAUCUGAGCAAUGGACCAAGUUACCCUAGGGAUAACAGCGCAAUCUUUCUAGAGAGUCCAUAUCGAUAGAAGGGUUUACGACCUCGAUGUUGGAUCAGGACAUCCUAAUGGUGCAGCAGCUAUUAAAGGUUCGUUUGUUCAACGAUUAAAGUCCU